rnacentral:ncRNA from 1 species
UCGUCGGGCUCAGUAACAUGGGCGUCCUUGUAGCAAUGCAAGGGAAGAUUACCUGUCAAAUUCGGUGGAGCCUUUAAAAUGGUAAUACCGAGCCAAGCCCUUGGAUAACAUCAAGGGAAGUGUGUAGAGACUAGAUGAUAGGUACCCUUUAAAAGGGUAAAGGUAUAGUCCAGACUACAAAUCCGUUAAGAUUUAUGG